rnacentral:rRNA from 1 species
AGCGAACGCUGGCGGCAGGCUUAACACAUGCAAGUCGAGCGGGCACUUUCGGGUGUCAGCGGCGGACGGGUGAGUAACGCGUGGGAACGUGCCCUCUGGUUCGGAAUAACUCAGGGAAACUUGAGCUAAUACCGGAUACGCCCUUUUGGGGAAAGGCUUGCUGCCGGAGGAUCGGCCCGCGUCUGAUUAGCUAGUUGGUGAGGUAACGGCUCACCAAGGCGACGAUCAGUAGCUGGUCUGAGAGGAUGAUCAGCCACACUGGGACUGAGACACGGCCCAGACUCCUACGGGAGGCAGCAGUGGGGAAUAUUGGACAAUGGGCGCAAGCCUGAUCCAGCCAUGCCGCGUGAGUGAUGAAGGCCUUAGGGUUGUAAAGCUCUUUUAUCCGGGACGAUAAUGACGGUACCGGGGAAUAAGCCCCGGCUAACUUCGUG